rnacentral:rRNA from 1 species
UGGGGAAUAUUGGACAAUGGGCGGAAGCCUGAUCCAGCAACGCCGCGUGAGGGAUGACGGCCUUCGGGUUGUAAACCUCUUUCAGUACCGACGAAGCGAAAGUGACGGUAGGUACAGAAGAAGGACCGGCCAACUACGUGCCAGCAGCCGCGGUAAUACGUAGGGUCCGAGCGUUGUCCGGAAUUAUUGGGCGUAAAGGGCUCGUAGGCGGUUUGUCGCGUCGGGAGUGAAAACAGCGGGCUUAACUCGUUGCUUGCUUUCGAUACGGGCAGACUAGAGGUAUGCAGGGGAGAAUGGAAUUCCUGGUGUAGCGGUGAAAUGCGCAGAUAUCAGGAGGAACACCGGUGGCGAAGGCGGUUCUCUGGGCAUUACCUGACGCUGAGGAGCGAAAGUGUGGGGAGCGAACAGGAUUAGAUACCCUGGUAGUCCACACCGUAAAACGUUGGGCGCUAGGUGUGGGGUCCUUUCCACGGAUUCCGUGCCGUAGCUAACGCAUUUAAGCGCCCCGCCUGGGGAGUACGGCCGCAAGGCUAAAAACUCAAAGGAAUUGA